rnacentral:rRNA from 1 species
AUUGAACGCUGGCGGCAGGCCUAACACAUGCAAGUCGAACGAGUGGCGGACGGGUGAGUAAUGUCUGGGAAACUGCCUGAUGGAGGGGGGUAACUACUGGACACGGUAGCUAAUACCGCAUACCAUCAGAUGUGCCCAGAUGGGAUUAGCUAGUUGGUGGGGUAACGGCUCACCAAGGCGACGAUCCCUAGCUGGUCUGAGAGGAUGACCAGCCACACUGGAACUGAGACACGGUCCAGACGCCGACGGGAGGGAGCAGUGGGGAAUAUUGCACAAUGGGCGCAAGCCGGAUGCAGCCAUGCCGCGUGUAUGAAGAAGGCCUGCGGGUUGUAAAGUACUUUCAGCGGGGAGGCGUUACUCGCAGAAGAAGCACCGGCUAACUCCGUGCCAGCAGCCGCGGUAAUAC